rnacentral:rRNA from 1 species
UUUAUGGAGAGUUUGAUCCUGGCUCAGAGUGAACGCUGGCGGCGUGCCUAAUACAUGCAAGUCGAACGAUGAAGCUUCUAGCUUGCUAGAGUGCUGAUUAGUGGCGCACGGGUGAGUAACGCAUAGGUUAUGUGCCUCUUAGUUUGGGAUAGCCAUUGGAAACGAUGAUUAAUACCAGAUACUCCCUACGGGGGAAAGAUUUAUCGCUAAGAGAUCAGCCUAUGUCCUAUCAGCUUGUUGGUAAGGUAAUGGCUUACCAAGGCUAUGACGGGUAUCCGGCCUGAGAGGGUGAACGGACACACUGGAACUGAGACACGGUCCAGACUCCUACGGGAGGCAGCAGUAGGGAAUAUUGCUCAAUGGGGGAAACCCUGAAGCAGCAACGCCGCGUGGAGGAUGAAGGUUUUAGGAUUGUAAACUCCUUUUGUUAGAGAAGAUAAUGACGGUAUCUAACGAAUAAGCACCGGCUAACUCCGUGCCAGCAGCCGCGGUAAUACGGAGGGUGCAAGCGUUACUCGGAAUCACUGGGCGUAAAGAGCGCGUAGGCGGGAUAGUCAGUCAGGUGUGAAAUCCUAUGGCUUAACCAUAGAACUGCAUUUGAAACUACUAUUCUAGAGUGUGGGAGAGGUAGGUGGAAUUCUUGGUGUAGGGGUAAAAUCCGUAGAGAUCAAGAGGAAUACUCAUUGCGAAGGCGACCUGCUGGAACAUUACUGACGCUGAUUGCGCGAAAGCGUGGGGAGCAAACAGGAUUAGAUACCCUGGUAGUCCACGCCCUAAACGAUGGAUGCUAGUUGUUGGAGGGCUCAGUCUCUCCAGUAAUGCAGCUAACGCAUUAAGCAUCCCGCCUGGGGAGUACGGUCGCAAGAUUAAAACUCAAAGGAAUAGACGGGGACCCGCACAAGCGGUGGAGCAUGUGGUUUAAUUCGAAGAUACACGAAGAACCUUACCUAGGCUUGACAUUGAGAGAAUCCGCUAGAAAUAGUGGAGUGUCUGGCUUGCCAGACCUUGAAAACAGGUGCUGCACGGCUGUCGUCAGCUCGUGUCGUGAGAUGUUGGGUUAAGUCCCGCAACGAGCGCAACCCCCUUUCUUAGUUGCUAACAGGUCAUGCUGAGAACUCUAAGGAUACUGCCUCCGUAAGGAGGAGGAAGGUGGGGACGACGUCAAGUCAUCAUGGCCCUUACGCCUAGGGCUACACACGUGCUACAAUGGGGUGCACAAAGAGAAGCAAUACUGCGAAGUGGAGCCAAUCUUCAAAACACCUCUCAGUUCGGAUUGUAGGCUGCAACUCGCCUGCAUGAAGCUGGAAUCGCUAGUAAUCGCAAAUCAGCCAUGUUGCGGUGAAUACGUUCCCGGGUCUUGUACUCACCGCCCGUCACACCAUGGGAGUUGUGUUUGCCUUAAGUCAGGAUGCUAAAUUAGCUACUGCCCACGGCACACACAGCGACUGGGGUGAAGUCGUAACAAGGUAACCGUAGGUGAACCUGCGGUUGGAUCACCUCCUUUCUAGA